rnacentral:rRNA from 1 species
UAGGGAAUCUUCCACAAUGGGCGAAAGCCUGAUGGAGCAACGCCGCGUGUGUGAUGAAGGGUUUCGGCUCGUAAAACACUGUUGUAAGAGAAGAAUGACAUUGAGAGUAACUGUUCAAUGUGUGACGGUAUCUUACCAGAAAGGGACGGCUAACUACGUGCCAA